AUCCGAUCGACGAGUCCCAAAUAGGACGAGAUGCAUGUCCUGGAU
rnacentral:hammerhead_ribozyme from 1 species